UGGCUCAGAUUGAACGCUGGCGGCAUGCCUUACACAUGCAAGUCGAACGGCAGCACGGGUGCUUGCACCUGGUGGCGAGUGGCGAACGGGUGAGUAAUACAUCGGAACAUGUCCUGUAGUGGGGGAUAGCCCGGCGAAAGCCGGAUUAAUACCGCAUACGAUCUACGGAUGAAAGCGGGGGACCUUCGGGCCUCGCGCUAUAGGGUUGGCCGAUGGCUGAUUAGCUAGUUGGUGGGGUAAAGGCCUACCAAGGCGACGAUCAGUAGCUGGUCUGAGAGGACGACCAGCCACACUGGGACUGAGACACGGCCCAGACUCCUACGGGAGGCAGCAGUGGGGAAUUUUGGACAAUGGGCGAAAGCCUGAUCCAGCAAUGCCGCGUGUGUGAAGAAGGCCUUCGGGUUGUAAAGCACUUUUGUCCGGAAAGAAAUCCUUGGUUCUAAUAUAACCGGGGGAUGACGGUACCGGAAGAAUAAGCACCGGCUAACUACGUGCCAGCAGCCGCGGUAAUACGUAGGGUGCGAGCGUUAAUCGGAAUUACUGGGCGUAAAGCGUGCGC
rnacentral:rRNA from 2 species